CCAAGGAUGAAAACUUCUGGGGACGAUGGCGACUCUCCAGACGAUUUGGAACCGGAUAAUCUUUGGAGCUAUCCUUGACCACAAAUCAGAAUGACUUUCUGAUAGGAGGAAAUUUUUCCUAUUUGAUGCGCAAAAUGGUGAAAUCUACAAAUACAAAAUGGAAUGAGCAAUACUCUCUAAAUGUACAACUCCCUUGAACGACAUUUAGCCAAAAUCAUGGAUGUAGAAACAUUUCAAAAACUUCAAUCAUGAUACGUAAAACUAUAUGACAAAUGAGGAAGAAGAGGCGGAGGAAUAAGAGAUGAUGUUUAGCAACGAUAGAAUUGUAAAGAAAGAUUGAUAACAAAAUAGCCAUAGAAACAGGUUCCCGAUAUCAUCAAACAAAUGUUUUACUUAUUGAUAAACUA